rnacentral:lncRNA from 1 species
CAUUUUUGAACUUACAAGUUUUAGUCCGUUGCACUAAUUCACCCCCCCCUCUUAGUGCCGCUCCGAUCCUAACAGAUUGAACCACUAUAAAAUUAGUGUGCACUUUCUUAUUGCUCUUCAUUACUGUUAUUUUCUGCCUUAAUUGCUUAUUGCUAUUAUUCUAAGUUAAGUAUACUUUCAAUAACUUUUUUGAUUUGUUUUUAUUAAGCCAAAAGUUUCGUAUCGAC